rnacentral:lncRNA from 1 species
UUUGCUGGAACCAUGCCAUAACUUAGUGUCUGCUGCUCUGCCCUGCUGGGUCAAGACAACACAUCCGUCACGUAAAUCACUUAACCAGCACGGACUAUUUGUCUGAACUUCAGAUUCUGGUGAAGAAACUUUCCAGCAGCUUUGUCGGCUGCAGCUCACACUUCCUUGCCACCCACCUCACCUGCACAGACCACGAGCUGCUCUUCUGCCCACCACCAGGUUUGCAACCCAG